rnacentral:rRNA from 1 species
UGCCCACUACGGGGCGCAGCAGUGGGGAAUAUUGCACAAUGGGCGAAAGCCUGAUGCAGCAACGCCGCGUGAAGGAAGAAGGGUUUCGGCUCGUAAACUUCUAUCAACAGGGACGAAAGAAAUGACGGUACCUGAAUAAGAAGCCCCGGCUAACUACGUGCCAGCAGCCGCGGUAAUACGUAGGGGGCAAGCGUUAUCCGGAAUUACUGGGUGUAAAGGGGGAGUAGGCGGCAUGGUAAGCCAGAUGUGAAAGCCUUGGGCUUAACCCGAGGGUUGCAUUUGGCACUAUCAAGCUUGGGUACAGG